rnacentral:lncRNA from 1 species
ACACACGGCUCUCUCCGUCUUGCUUGUCUCAAAAAAAAAAAGGCUCUCUCCGUCUUGCGGACGGGUGUCUCCCGCAGGAGGCGGCGGUCUUGCAGGGGCACGGCGCACCGGCGAACGCCGGCGAGCCGUCGGUCGACCGAUCGAGGGGCGGCGGCAGCGCUGCUUCUGUGCACCAUGAGCGACGCCCUCAUGCUCCCUCGGAUGAAUGGAAUCAUGCGACGUAGGAAGGAGGCAGUCCGCCGCCGUUGCUGCUCCGCCUCAAGGCCGCUCAGAUGGUGCAUGUCCCUCGCCAGAUCAUGAUGCGCAAAAAGUCCGUCAUGGUCUAUCGGUCAAAUGGUAAAUAAUCUAGCUCGGAUCACCGUCACUUUUAGCUGUUUGCACAACAAUGCUUAUGAAUGUAAUUUAUGUUAUUCCAUUUCCACCACCCUCGCGUGCCAACAAAACCUGAGCUUUGGGUUAAAAGAACAACAAAACCUGAGCUUUUAGCUUACACAUAAUUUCAUUUCUCACAGAAAAAGGCCAAUAACAGAGCCCAGAUUAAAAUGGAAUCGGAAAACACGCUGAGGUGAAAGGAGUGCAAAAGGAUCUCCUCACACGAUAUUACUUUCUCACUAAUAAAAAACGCUCACAAAAGCAGCACAGAAACUCUCACACAACAUAUUGCUAGACUAUUUCCUUCCCUUUUGCUUUCUUACUACGGUAUAAGAAACCAGCGGGUUCCUGCCACCAGACUCUGUUAAUAGGACUGUCUGCUGUUGGAAUUUUGUGAGUUUUUAUGCGUUUUAUUUGCCUUUUUGUUGUUGUCAAAAUGUCAAUCAUUUUUUCUUGUCAUGCGAACUGUAAGAGUAAUAGUGAGGUCAACGCCCGCAUGUCACUCACAGUAGGUUGUAUUUUACUGAAAUUGAAUUUAGAGUUCUGUUGAGGAAAAAAUUCAGAUGAUACAUGUCACAACCCUAGUUUAGCUUUGCACUUGGGCUAGUCUUGCAUGUGCAUCAUGUUUAAAUUUUCUUGAAUUUUGAAUUGGGGAUCCAACAAACCCUUCGAAAAUAAUAGGAUCAGCUAAAAAUAUUUUCAAUGAAUCCAAAAUGCCCUUCAUAAAAGUUCAUGAUUUUUGAAAAAGGUGCAAACCUCUGCCAAAAAUGAUCCACACAUUUUUCGGACACUUUUGGAUUUUUGAAUUAAGCCAUAAAGUAUUUGAAUUUGGGCAUGCAAUAAAUACUUUAAAUGCUCAAAUAAUUUCAAACCUAAUUGAGGGCCACUGGAAUAAUUCAGAAAGAGUCCACAAUUUAUUUCAGGAUUUUACAAAAUGAUUCUGUUUGAAAUCAAAUCAAAACAGAG